rnacentral:sRNA from 1 species
CCAAUGUCACCAACAGCAAUGGGGCCCACCAUCAGCCUGGACCUGGAUGUGGAUGACGUGGAGAUGGAGAACUAUGAGGUCCCAUGGAGCCCCAUGCUGGGAGGUGGGGUUUGGGAGACCUGCAGCCCUGGGCACCGCUGACCCCGUCUCCUGCCCGCAUGCAGGCCCUCCUGAACCUGGCCGAGCGGCUGGGAGAUGCCAAGCCCCGGGGCCUCACCAAAGCAGACAUAGAGCAGCUCCCGUCGUACCGCUUUAACCCGGACAGCCAUCAGUCAGAGCAGACGCUGUGUGUGGUCUGCUUCAGUGACUUCGAGGCGCGGCAGCUGCUCCGAGUCCUCCCCUGCAACCAUGAGUUCCACACCAAGUGUGUUGACAAGUGGUUGAAGGUAACACUGCCCAGGCUGGCUCCUGGGUAUUCCUCAUGCAGUGAUGGUGGGAUGGGCUGGCCUGGGCUGUUUCCCUCCUUGUCCUUGUCAUUAUCUCCGAAGUUCUGGCUCCAGGGGACCAGGUCCCCCUAGGCAGCUGCACAGAUGUGAUGGGUUGGGGCUGGUGAGAGCAACGCCUGACGUGCAUGUUCCCACAGGCCAACCGGACAU